UACGUAGGGGGCAAGCGUUGUCCGGAAUCAUUGGGCGUAAAGAGCGUGUAGGCGGCCCGAUCAGUCCGCUGUAAAAGUCCAGGGCUCAACCCUGGGAUGCCGGUGGAUACUGUCGGGCUAGAGUCCGGAAGAGGCGAGUGGAAUUCCUGGUGUAGCGGUGAAAUGCGCAGAUAUCAGGAGGAACACCAAUGGCGAAGGCAGCUCGCUGGGACGGUACUGACGCUGAGACGCGAAAGCGUGGGGAGCAAACAGG
rnacentral:rRNA from 1 species